rnacentral:rRNA from 1 species
GGGCCCGCACAAGCGGUGGAGUAUGUGGUUUAAUUCGAUGCAACGCGAAGAACCUUACCAGGGUUUGACAUCCUGCGAAUCUCUUGGAAACAGGAGAGUGCCUUCGGGAACGCAGUGACAGGUGGUGCAUGGCUGUCGUCAGCUCGUGUCGUGAGAUGUUCGGUUAAGUCCGGCAACGAGCGCAACCCACAUCCCUAGUUGCCAGCAGUUCGGCUGGGCACUCUAUGGAAACUGCCCGUGAUAAACCGGAGGAAGGUGUGGAUGACGUCAAGUCAUCAUGCCCCUUACAUCCUGGGCUACACACGUACUACAAUGCUACGGACAAAGGGCAGCAAACUCGCGAGAGCUAGCAAAUCCCAUAAACCGUGGCUCAGUUCAGAUCGUAGGCUGCAACUCGCCUACGUGAAGGAGGAAUCGCUAG